rnacentral:rRNA from 1 species
AACGAACGCUGGCGGCAGGCCUAACACAUGCAAGUCGAGCGCCCCGCAAGGGGAGCGGCGGACGGGUGAGUAACGCGUGGGAAUAUGCCCUUUGCUACGGAAUAGUCUCGGGAAACUGGGGGUAAUACCGUAUACGCCCUUUGGGGGAAAGAUUUAUCGGCGAAGGAUUAGCCCGCGUUGGAUUAGGUAGUUGGUGGGGUAAUGGCCUACCAAGCCGACGAUCCAUAGCUGGUUUGAGAGGAUGAUCAGCCACACUGGGACUGAGACACGGCCCAGACUCCUACGGGAGGCAGGAGUGGGGAAUCUUAGACAAUGGGGGCAACCCUGAUGUAGCCAUGCCGGGUGAGUGAUGAAGGCCGUAGGGUUGUAAAGCUCUUUCAGCUGGGAAGAUAAUGACGGUACCAGCAGAAGAAGCCCCGGCUAACUCCGUG